AUUGAACGCUGGCGGCAGGCCUAACACAUGCAAGUCGAGCACGAAAGUCUUCGGAUGAGUAAAGCGGCGGACGGGUGAGUAAUGCAUGGGAAUCUGCCUGGUAGUGGGGGACAACGUUUCGAAAGAGACGCUAAUACCACAUACGCCCUACGGGGGAAAGGGGGGGAUCUUCGGACCUCUCGCUAUCAGAUGAGCCCAUGUCAGAUUAGCUAGUUGGUAGGGUAAAGGCCUACCAAGGCGACGAUCUGUAACUGGUCUGAGAGGAUGAUCAGUCACACUGGAACUGAGACACGGUGCAGACUCCUACGGGCGGCAGCAGUGGGGAAUAUUAGACAAGGGGGGAAACCCUGAUCCAGCCAUGCCGCGUGUGUGAAGAAGGCCCUAGGGUUGUAAAGCACUUUCAGUGGGGAGAAAGGUUAUUCACCUAAUACGUGAGUAAACUGAUGCUACCCACAGAAGAAGCACCGGCUAACUCCGUGCCAGCAGCCGCAGUAA
rnacentral:rRNA from 1 species